GNAUUUAUUGGGCGUAAAGGGAGCGCAGGCGGUCAGGAAAGUCUGGAGUAAAAGGCUAUGGCUCAACCAUAGUGUGCUNUGGAAACUGUCUGACUUGAGUGCAGAAGGGGAGAGUGGAAUUCCAUGUGUAGCGGUGAAAUGCGUAGAUAUAUGGAGGAACACCAGUGGCGAAAGCGGCUCUCUGGUCUGUCACUGACGCUGAGGCUCGAAAGCGUGGGUAGCGAACAGGAUUAGAUACCCUGGUAGUCCACGCCGUAAACGAUGAGUGCUAGGUGUUAGGCCCUUUCCGGGGCUUAGUGCCGGAGCUAACGCAAUAAGCACUCCGCCUGGGGAGUACGACCGCAAGGUUGAAACUCAAAGGAAUUGACGGGGGCCCGCACAAGCGGUGGAGCAUGUGGUUUAAUUCGAAGCAACGCGAAGAACCUUGCCAGGUCUUGACAUCCCGAUGCUAUUCUUAGAGAUAGGAAGUUACUUCGGUACAUCGGAGACAGGUGGUGCAUGGUUGUCGUCAGCUCGUGUCGUGAGAUGUUGGGUUAAGUCCCGCAACGAGCGCAACCCUUAUUGUUAGUUGCCAUCAUUAAGUUGGGCACUCUAGCGAGACUGCCGGUAAUAAACCGGAGGAAGGUGGGGAUGACGUCAAAUCAUCAUGCCCCUUAUGACCUGGGCUACACACGUGCUACAAUGGUCGGUACAACGAGUUGCGAGCCGGUGACGGCAAGCUAAUCUCUGAAAGCCGAUCUCAGUUCGGAUUGGAGGCUGCAACUCGCCUCCAUGAAGUCGGAAUCGCUAGUAAUCGCGGAUCAGCACGCCGCGGUGAAUACGUUCCCGGGCCUUGUACACACCGCCCGUCACACCACGAGAGUUUGUAACACCCGAAGUCGGUGAGGUAACCUUUUAGGGNCCA
rnacentral:rRNA from 1 species